CAGCCGCCGCGGGAAUACGUAGGUGGCAAGCGUUGUCCGGAAUUAUUGGGCGUAAAGGGCUCGCAGGCGGUUUCUUAAGUCUGAUGUGAAAGCCCCCGGCUCAACCGGGGAGGGUCAUUGGAAACUGGGAAACUUGAGUGCAGAAGAGGAGAGUGGAAUUCCACGUGUAGCGGUGAAAUGCGUAGAGAUGUGGAGGAACACCAGUGGCGAAGGCGACUCUCUGGUCUGUAACUGACGCUGAGGAGCGAAAGCGUGGGGAGCGAACAGGAUUAGAUACCCCAGUAGUCCCUGUCUCUUAUAU
rnacentral:rRNA from 1 species